ACAAGAAUAAGAGUCAAGCGUUGGGUGUUCCAAGCAGCAGGUUAGGUCCAUAGAUGUUACAGGACUACAACUCCCAUCAUCCCCACUGUUAUGUACUAAGCUUGGAUCCUAGAACAAUAGGCAAGUUGGAUCCUAGAAUGCAACAACUGGUUGGCUUCAAUCAGGCUCCAGGAGGGAAGCAGAAUCAACCAAUCAGACAGGACUCAUUGUGUAAAUAAUGUACAGUCAUACCUCAGGUUACAGACGCUUCAGGUUGCGUUUUUUCGGGUUAUGGACCACCGAAACCCGGAAGUAGAUUUUAGUAGAUUUAUUGCAUUAGCCGAGUGGCCAUAGCAUGAUAUACAUUGAAAUAACAACAUAAAAUGGGGGUGGGGAGGUAAAGGUAGAUAUCGUCCUGGGCGAAUACUUAAAGAAAGUGAAAAAAAAAACAAAACUGCUGAGGCUGGAGGAGGACCGUUGAAGGGUCCUUCAGCUCCUCAGAUUAGUCCUAACUCGAUUGUCCUUGUACAAUAAGGCUACUUGGAACUUCGUUCGGUUGUGCGGCGUAUCGACUGCAGCUGUGGUGUUAAGGAAGAAGUAAGUGCCGCUUUCCUCUUCAUCACACUAAGCAGGAAGUUAGCUGUCAUCUCGGUAAUCCAACAAUCAGAAUCCUGCAAAAAAAGGGACACUAUCCAAGGCUGGAUUGGGAGAUGGAACUUAUUCACGAGGGGAGUUAAAAACCGAGAUCUUUCAUCUGUCCAGUUGGGACAGAAGAGCAUUACAUGUUCCAUAGUCUCCAGGGCCGUGUCAUUACAGGAGCAUGUUCUGUUUGCGAUGGGAACUCUGGAAUAGCGACCCGACAGAACUGCUGUAGGGAAACAGUUGAGACGGGCACAGGUAAAAGCCCUUCGCUUAGUCUCCGAAGAAAUUGUGAAGCAGUAUAGAGGGAUCCCUUCAGGGGGUGGAAUAGCUAGGGCUAGGCCUGAACACGGUCCUCUUGCACAAGAAGCUGUGUUGGAGAAGUCAAGUUGCUGUAGUUUCUUUUUAAUUAGGGGUAGGGCCACCAGGCUGAUACACUCUAAGUUAAGAACAGUUUUACAAUUCAAAUUGAGAAGAGAGCGGAAUUUGAGGUUAAUUGUAGUUUUCCAAGGGGAAUUAUGGAUAUCUCUUAGGAUCAGAUUGGAAAAGCCACCUCUAAUUCGAGCAUCCGAUGCUAAUAGGUGGAAGGUGUAGGAAAUGGCUCGGCUCCAUGCUCGUCUAGCAAUUGAAGGCUGGGCGAACUCGAGUCGUAGGGCUGCACCUGAGACACAUCUCGGGACGCCGGAAAGAGAUCUCAGAAACAUAUGAAGUGGACGAUCCAGGUUACCUGAUAUUGCUGUAGUCCAUACUGGAACAGGUUACUUCCGGGUUUCGGCAGUCGCACAUGUGUAGAAGUGCUAAAUCACGCUUUGCGCAUGCGCAGAAGCGCCAAAUCGCAACCCGCACAUGUGCAGAUGCACCACUGCGGGGUUGCGAAUGUGUAUCCUGCAUGGAUCAUGUUCGCAACCUGAGCGUCCACUGUAUAUAAAAGCCUGAAGUUUGGGGGGAAAUUCAAUCACUGUUUCACAAGCUGCAAUAAAGAGCAUGAAAUUGUUGCAGGACUCUAGCAUAUUUCACCCACCUAGCUGAGCCAAUGAUCGGGGUGAUGAGAGUUGUAGUCCAACAUCUGGCGACCCAGUUUUGAAUGAUACUGCCUUAGGAGGCCUGAGGUGAUGGGAUGGUGAAGAAAGGGCCCAAUUCGCAUCCUUGAGCAUCUGAGGAUGCUGCCUUGAGUGUCAUGGCAUUCAGGGGACAUGGGAACUAUAGGGACUGAAUUUCCCACGGAGCCCAAGUGCCCUGGACACACUGCCAAUGUAUGGUGACCUCCUAUGCUCCCCUGCACCCUGGGUCUUCAGGCCAUAAUAAUAAUAAUAAUAGCAACAACAACAAUAAUAAUUUAUUUAUACCCCGCCCAUCUGGCUGGGUUUCCCCAGCCACUCCGGGUGGCUCCCAACAAAUUAAAAGCAUAAUAAAACAUCAAACUUUUUUUAAAAAACCUCCCUAAACUACUUGAAGUCUGAUGGGCCUCUCUGGUAUUAUUUUCAGAACUGGCGGCAGGGUGCUGAUGUAAUCUGGAUAUGGCUAAUGCUGCCUUGAAGCCCCUUUACACUGGGUGAGCUCAUUCCAACGUGGAACGCUUAAAAAGAAAAAGCAGGCCCCAGAUUUUGCUGCGAGAUUCCUAUCGCAGACCCAGCCUUACAUGAAAGUGGUUUGGAAGCUGCAGCAUGAAUAUUGGGCUGCCAAACCCAUAUGAAACCAGUUCUGAAGAGCCCAUGCCGGCCGCCAUAAAUGACUUAGGAUCCAGUUACCUGAAAGAGAACCUCACCCUGAGUGAACUUGCUGAGGCAUGAAGAUCUGCAAGGGAUGUGUUUGUUAGUUCAUUGCCAAGUGAGGGUCGUAUUUCUAAAGGGCCUUCCCAGUGGUGGCUCCCUGUCUUUGGAAUCUGUCUGGCUCCGCAGUAGUUAGUUUUCAGUGCCAUCUAAAGUAAUCUUACCCCUUUAACCAGACUUUGAAAUAUGAGGGGUUGUGAUGUGUCAAGCUACUAUACUAAAG
rnacentral:lncRNA from 1 species